rnacentral:rRNA from 1 species
AACGAACGCUGGCGGCAUGCCUAACGCAUGCAAGUCGAACGAGACCUUCGGGUCUAGAGGCGCACGGGUGCGUAACACGUGGGAAUCUGCCCUUGGGUUCGGAAUAACAGUUGGAAACGACUGCUAAUACCGGAUGAUGACGUAAGUCCAAAGAUUUAUCGCCCAAGGAUGAGCCCGCGUCGGAUUAGCUAGUUGGUGGG